rnacentral:lncRNA from 1 species
CAAACGUAACUUAUUCAAUGGAAUAUUCAAUUCUUAUCAAUUAUUCUAUAUAGCGUUAAUGGAAAAAGAAAUAAAUACCCAUUUUGCAAUUCAAGGCAUUACAAAACACAAAAUCAUAAAAUAUAUCACUGGUGGUGAACAAAACUAAUUUUAUACAUUUAUGAAAUAUUGUUUGUCUCUACAUGACACAUAUAUGUACCUUGCUGCACAAGCCCUAAAGACAACUCAAAUUACUGAUUCAUCAAAACACCAUAUUAUUUUAAUGCAAAUAGAAAUAGUUGGACAUUUAUUACAGAUUCUUAUAAAAUCCUUAUUACACAUCAACAUUACUAUUUGAAAAGAAAAAAAUAAUUUCGUUGAACUGUAUAAUAUGAGUUUAAUGUUAAUUUGUAUUCGGAAGGUAAUACCUGUAAUAUUGUAUAGGUUAAAACAGAAAUAAAUUCCCCAUUAAAGAUCAAAAGCGUUCUUAUUCACUCAUUGACCGUUGACCAUGAACAAAACGAGUUGAAUAUGGACGACAUAUUUGAAGCAUAACACAUAUCUUUUUCCAGCAUUCAUCAGACCAUCAUUGGUUGAGUAUGGUGUUUUUUCACACAACACGUGUUGCUGUUUCAGUCGUCAAUUCAAGCCAACCAAAAUUAUGGCUUCAUCAAGUCAUCAUAGUCAUGUCAUUGCAAAUAUAAAAUGUUUGCUGUUCAUUAUAUAAAUUUUCGAAUCUGUAUAACUAACACGCAUAAUUAUACCCUUGAACAUUCAAAUCUGAUAAACUGUUUUAUAUAGCUUUAAUUUCAUAUGUUUAAUAUCUAUUUUGAAAUUGAUGACAUGGCACAUGUGGCAAUACACAAACUUUUAAAAUUCUUCAAUGAUGAUGUAACAAUUUUUUUUUUUGAUUCAUUAGCCGUUGCCCACCACCAAAACGAACAGAAAAUGGACACCCUAUUCGAAGCAUAACACAUGUAAUUUUGAGGCAUAUACAAGAUAAAUAAUCAUGCUGUUUAACGUCUUUGGCUGAUGAUGAUAUUUAAUUCUAUGACACACAUGUUGCUCUUCCAGCCGUCAAUUCAAGCCAACACAAAUUAUUCAUUAUUCAUUAAUGCAUCAUAAUUUCUUAAAUUGAAUAUAUAAAUUGUUUGAAGUUCAUUAAAGACGGAAGAAUCUGAUUAACUAUUCUAUACAGCUUUAAUGUAAAAAAUCAAAUUUCCAUUUUGCAAUUUAUGUCAUUGACAUUUAUAGAAUUAUCAAAAAUAGUUUAAUGAUGGUGAAACAUUUUUGUAACAACUCUUUUUUUAGUGUGUAAGUAUCAAGUUCAAGUUUAAUUAGAGACGUAUUUAUAAUUAAAACUGCAAUGCAAUACACUGAAUUUUUCUUAAAUAGAAAAAAAUCCUGUCUAUAUAUUAUUUACUCAUUAACCAUUGACAAAGCGCAGAAUAAAGUGAAAACUGUAACCAUAUUUGAAGCAUGCAACAUGUCUUUGUCAAGCAAUCAUGUGUCCGAACAUCGUCAUUUAUUGAUUAUGAGUUUGCUUGACACGACUGUAUGCUGCUGUUGAAAUCCAAUAUCCAAGCCAACACAAUUGAUUGCUUCAUCAAAACAUCGUAUUUCUUGUAUUGCAUAUAUUCAUGAUUGAAUUUCAAUAAAGACGUUUUUGAAUUUUCAUUACAAACAAGCAUAACGUAUUUAAUAUAUAGUCUAUAUAGCUUUAACGUUAAUAAUUAUUUACCCGUUUUCAAUUCAUUUCAUGGCAAUACACACAAUUAUAGAACUCAUCUAGAAAUUGUACAACUAAUUUACCAAUUUUUUUUCUUCAGAAAAAUGACACCAUAGUUGAAGCAGCAUGACAACCUGCCUUGUCAAGCAAAGAUAAAAGCAAUCACUAUUUAAUAAAUAAUUGAUGCAAAAGACACAAGAGGGACAGUCAAACUCAUGAAUAAAAACAAAAAUAAACGGACAAAACCAUGGCUAAAAAUGAAAAAGACAAACAGACAAACAAUUGUACACAUAAAAAAAAAUUACAAAAAUGUUACUAGAUAUAUAGACAAUUUAAGUUACUUUGUGGUCUAUAAUUAUGUCAUAUUGUUUUGUUUUUGUUUUAUAAGGAUAUUUAGUUUAAAUUUUUGCACACAUCAUAAAACUGAACUGGUCAGAAUCUGAAUAUUUAAGUAUACAUUCAUUUUGCAAGAACAAGCUUAUUUUAAAUGUUUUCAAUUUCUUUGAAUUCUAGCGUCCGUUUGUGCGACAAGUGCGAGGGGUAAGUGCUUUAAAUAUUCACAGGAAAUAUUUUUCAUCAAAUACAAAAGGAUUAUAUAAUCAUAUUUAAUUUACUAAGAUAUGAUCGUUCUAUAGAUUAUCGGUCAUCAUCUCAACGAGAUUGAUUUUCUCGCUUGAGCCGGCAAUCGAGUUGAGAAGAACGAUGAUAAUCUUUUUAUCGCUAUUUCACCUAUGACGACGUUGUCAAUUUCAUGUCAAUUUCGUUAGCAACGCCACGUGCAUGCUUAGUUUCAUGCGAUAAUUUUCCAUCUCAAGCGAGUAGCAUGAUAUGAAAAUUGUUACAAAAAAAGAUCAAAAGAAAAAUUCACAAAAUAGCGAAAAAAGAAGGAUUAUAUAAUCAAAUUACUAAGACAUGAUCGUUCUUUGUGAAAACACACAAAGUAAACUAAAAUAAAUCAUAGGAAUUCACUACUUUUUGAUACAUAGGCAUUUAAAUGUUUUCUGUGUGAUAUAUAUCACCUGGUAAAAAUAUGUUCAUAAGUCAUGAGAACCACAUCACACGAAGCCAAGAUACAGUUAACAUAUUGUGUUGUUAAAUAAUAUAUUUCAACUACGUUUCAUAUUUAGCCAUUAUUUCCUGAAGUAUUUGCUAAAAGUUAAUAAACAGAAAGUGCUACAAUUAAUAUGCAAAAAAAACCAAAAAAACCCACAUAUAUUGCAUAGUUGUACAUGUGUUGUGUGAAUUAAGAUAAAAGAAUGAAACACUGAAACAUUUCCAACAUAAUGUCAGUUUAUAAAACGAUUAUAUUUAUGUAUUACAGAGAGAUGUCCUAUAUCAAACAGGUUUAAACGAAUCAAGGCAAAAGUGUCAUCUAUCUCCAAAAUGUAAUCACGAUGUUUUACAAAUCAGGAAAUACUAAUUCCACAGACAACAAACUUAUCUUUGAGUAAAUGUAACUUUUAGUUGUAUGUUAAAUAUAAUAAUUGUUUUCCACUUGGGCUGUUUGAUUUUGUCAACGUGUUUAAUAUAUAUGGAACUUGAUAUUGCCGUUGUACUUUUUUUGUUUACGUCUUAACAUAAAAUAUUGAAUGCAGUUUUAUAGAUAAACUUCUAUUCACAUAAUUCUAAUUAACAUAUAUGAAUAUAAUAGUUU